rnacentral:rRNA from 1 species
UUGAACGCUGGCGGCAGGCCUAACACAUGCAAGUCGAGCGGAUGAGAAGAGCUUGCUCUUCGAUUCAGCGGCGGACGGGUGAGUAAUGCCUAGGAAUCUGCCUGGUAGUGGGGGACAACGUUUCGAAAGGAACGCUAAUACCGCAUACGUCCUACGGGAGAAAGCAGGGGACCUUCGGGCCUUGCGCUAUCAGAUGAGCCUAGGUCGGAUUAGCUAGUUGGUGAGGUAAUGGCUCACCAAGGCUACGAUCCGUAACUGGUCUGAGAGGAUGAUCAGUCACACUGGAACUGAGACACGGUCCAGACUCCUACGGGAGGCAGCAGUGGGGAAUAUUGGACAAUGGGCGAAAGCCUGAUCCAGCCAUGCCGCGUGUGUGAAGAAGGUCUUCGGAUUGUAAAGCACUUUAAGUUGGGAGGAAGGGCAGUAAGCUAAUACCUUGCUGUUUUGACGUUACCGACAGAAUAAGCACCGGCUAACUCUGU